rnacentral:snoRNA from 1 species
AAGAUUAUACUUUCAGGGAUCAUUUCUAUAGUUCAUUACUAGAGAAUUUUCUCUGAGCAUGUAGAGCACAGGAAACCAGGAAAAUACACAGCAUUCUCUCAUGAGUGUGAAGGUGGCUCUUGGUGUUGCUUUGCUGUAACUGCCAUUUGUGGUUGAGCAUUCUUUGCCUUCGAGGGAAAGAGGUAGAGGAUGCAGUCUGAAUGGU